rnacentral:rRNA from 1 species
ACUCCUACGGGAGGCAGCAGUGGGAAUAUUGCACAAUGGGCGCAAGCCUGAUGCAGCCAUGCCGCGUGUGUGAAGAAGGCCUUCGGGUUGUAAAGCACUUUCAGUCGUGAGGAAGGUAGUGUAGUUAAUAGCUGCAUUAUUUGACGUUAGCGACAGAAGAAGCACCGGCUAACUACGUGCCAGCAGCCGCGGUAAUACGUAGGGCGCAAGCGUUGUCCGGAAUUAUUGGGCGUAAAGAGCUCGUAGGCGGUUUGUCGCGUCUGCUGUGAAAUCCCGAGGCUCAACCUCGGGCUUGCAGUGGGUACGGGCAGACUAGAGUGUGGUAGGGGAGACUGGAAUUCCUGGUGUAGCGGUGGAAUGCGCAGAUAUCAGGAGGAACACCAAUGGCGAAGGCAGGUCUCUGGGCCACAACUGACGCU